rnacentral:misc_RNA from 1 species
CUGAGCGAGGACCCCAGAGGCCCAACCUCCAACCCUUUGUUAACCAACACUUGUUGCCUCGGGGGCGACCCGGCCUCCGCGCCGGGCCCCCGGUGGACCAUUAACUCUGUAUCUGUACGUCGGAGUACUUCAUGAAUCAAUCA